UACGUAGGUGGCGAGCGUUGUCCGGAUUUACUGGGCGUAAAGGGCGUGCAGGCGGUUUGUUAAGUGCAGGGUGAAAGCUCCCGGCUCAACUGGGAGAGGUCCUUGCAUACUGGCGAACUCGAGGGAGGCAGAGGAAAGUGGAAUUCCCGGUGUAGUGGUGAUAUGCGUAGAUAUCAGGAGGAACACCGGUGGCGAAGGCGGGUCACUGGGCCGGUCCUGACGCUGAGACGCGAAGGCGUGGGGAGCGAACGGG
rnacentral:rRNA from 1 species